rnacentral:rRNA from 1 species
UACGUAGGGGGCAAGCGUUGUCCGGAUUUAUUGGGCGUAAAGAGCGUGUAGGCGGCCAGGUAGGUCUGCUGUGAAAACUCGAGGCUCAACCUCGAGAUGUCGGCGGAAACCAUCUGGCUAGAGUCCGGAAGAGGAGAGUGGAAUUCCUGGUGUAGCGGUGAAAUGCGCAGAUAUCGGGAAGAACACCCGUGGCGAAGGCGGUUCUCUGGGACGGUACUGACGCUGAGACGCGAAAGCGUGGGGAGCGAACAGG